UACGUAGGGGGCAAGCGUUGUCCGGAAUCAUUGGGCGUAAAGAGCUCGUAGGCGGUCUGUCGCGUCGGCUGUGAAAUCCCGAGGCUCAACCUCGGGUCUGCAGUCGAUACGGGCAAACUAGAGUAUUGCAGGGGAGACUGGAAUUCCUGGUGUAGCGGUGAAAUGCGCAGAUAUCAGGAGGAACACCGGUGGCGAAGGCGGGUCUCUGGGCAAUAACUGACGCUGAGGAGCGAAAGCGUGGGGGAGCGAACAGG
rnacentral:rRNA from 1 species